CCCAUGUGGGUACUCCCAGGAGGUCACUCUCGCUGGGCUCUGUCCAGGUGGCAUUGCCAAGCACGGGGCUUUGACCCAUGAUAUAUAGUCCCUUUCUACGAUGUUGGAAAUGAAGCCAGGCUUUGAGUUUGUGCCUGCACAUUCCCACAGCUUCUCAAGAGUUCUGCGGGCGAUGACUGAGGCGAUGAACCAUGCAGGGAAACAGCU